rnacentral:lncRNA from 1 species
AUGUUUUGUGCAAAUGUGUGGCCUUUCAGAGCUAAAGUAUGAUCAUCUAGGUUUUCAUUUUUCUUCACUGGAUCUUUUUAUAGUCCCAUUGAAGAAGAAACUGUCUUUCAUGAUUGAGAUGGGACUUGUUAUGAUAUGAUCUUGUUAGGGGGUGCACAAUAGAUCACUGGUUGGUUGCAGUGCUAGGAUUGUUUAAAGCCCACUUUUCCUAUAAUCAGUUGGUCAAUGGCUCCAUCCAUGCCAAAGCUCUUAUCCUAUUUCAUUGCAUUAAUUAUAUUCAUAAUUUCUUCUACAGUGACUUACUCUCUAUGCUCACAUUAAUCCAUGGCAUUCAUAUUGUUUGUAUCAAUUUCACCUUCAUGUUUUCCAAUAGAUUUAAGAGUAUUUCUGGAAAUUUUUAUCACCUAUCAAUUAACUAAGAUUCAUAUCUCAUUGUCUUUCCAGCCUUAUAUUUUAUACCAAAUAUACUGCCAUCUUGUUCCCAUAUCAGAUAUGUUAUAUGCUGUAUUUCUGGAACAAUCCUUUUGUCCCUUUAAAAUCACUCUGCAAUUUCUCAUCUCUCUUGCCAUCCUCUCG